UACGUAGGGUGCAAGCGUUGUCCGGAAUUAUUGGGUGUAAAGAGCUCGUAGGCGGUCUGUCGCGUCUGCUGUGAAAACUCAGGGCUUAACCCUGAGCUUGCAGUGGGUACGGGCAGACUAGAGUGCGGUAGGGGAGACUGGAAUUCCUGGUGUAGCGGUGAAAUGCGCAGAUAUCAGGAGGAACACCGGUGGCGAAGGCGGGUCUCUGGGCCGAUAUCGACGCUGAGGAGCGAAAGCGUGGGGAGCGAACAGG
rnacentral:rRNA from 1 species